GCCUGGGUGGCUCAGUCGGUUGAGCGUCCAACUUCAGCUCGGGUCACGGUUGGUGGGUUCGAGCCCCGUGUCGGGCU
rnacentral:tRNA from 1 species